rnacentral:rRNA from 1 species
GGAUUCGACUAAGCCAUGCAAGUCCAGGGGACCCUUGUGGUCACCGGCGGAAUGCUCAGUAACACGUCGAUAAUCUGCCCUCAAGUACGGGAUAACCUUGGAAAACUGAGGCUAAUACCAUAUAUGUCAAAUUUUCUGGAAGGAUUUUUGAUUCAAAGAUUCGUCGCUUGAGGAUGAGUCGGCGGCCGAUUAGGUUGUUGGUGGGGUAAAGGCCCACCAAGCUUAUGAUCGGUACGGGCCUUGAGAGAGGUAGCCCGGAGAAGGGCACUGAGACACUUGCCCUAGCCCUAAGGGGUGCAGCAGGCGCGAAACCUUUACAAUGCACGAAAGUGUGAUAGGGGAAUCCCAAGUGCUCAUACUUUGUAUGGGCUUUUGCCAAGGUUAAAACCCUUGGCGAAUAAGUAGUGGGAAAGACUGGUGCCAGCAGCCGCGGUAACACCAGCGCUACAAGUGGCAAUCAUGUUUAUUGGGCCUAAAGCGUCCGUAGCCGGCUCGGUAAAUCUUUUGUGAAAUUAUUCGGCUUAACCGAAUAGCGUGCAGAAGAGACUGCCGAGCUUGGGACCGGGAGGAGUCAGAGGUAUUCCGGGGGGAGCGGUAAAAUGCUAUAAUCCUCGGAGGACCACCUGUGGCGAAGGCGUCUGACUAGAACGGCUCCGACGGUGAGGGACGAAAGCCAGGGGAGCAAACCGGAUUAGAUACCCGAGUAGUCCUGGCCGUAAACUCUGCGAGCUAGGUGUUGCAUAUUCUAACAGGAUUAUGCAAUGUCGAAGCGAAGGUGAUAAGCUCGCCGCCUGGGAAGUAUAGUCGCAAGACCGAAACUUAAAGGAAUUGGCGGGGGAGCACUACAAGGGGUGCGGCGUGCGGUUCAAUCGAACUCAACAUCGAGAAUCUCACCAGCAGCGACGGCAGGAUGAAGGUCAGAUUGAAGGUUUUACCUGACAAGCCGAGAGGUGGUGCAUGGCCGUCGUCAGCUCGUGCCGUGAGGUGUCCAGUUAAGUCUGGCAACGAGCGAGACCUAUACCUACAUUUGCCAUCAAGUGGUUUUCCAUGAUUGGGGACAAUGUAGGGACUGCCUUGGAAACAAGGAGGAAGGUAUAGUCUACGGUAGGUCUGUAUGCCCCGAAUCUGCUGGGCUACACGCGCGCAACAAUGGUCGGGACAAUGGGAUGCGACUCCGAAAGGAGGAGCCAAACCUCGAAACCCGAUCCUAGUUCAGAUUGUGGGCUGUAACUCGCCCACAUGACGCUGGAAUCCCUAGUAAUCGGAAGUCAACAACUUCCGGUGAAUAUGUCCCUGCUCCUUGCACACACCGCCCGUCAAACCACCCGAGUAGGGUUUAGGUGAGUUCAUGUUUUUUGACAUGACCGAACCUAAGUCAAGCGAGGUGGGUUAAGUCGUCACAAGGUA